UGUUCAGAUGUGGUACCAGUUUGGUUCUACUGCUGUUCUGUUGGGUCUCUGAUUGUUGUUCAUAAAUUCUUCUUCAGCUGUUUGGAUCAUUUGAACAAACUGUGAAGCUAGAAAGUGUGUGUGAGCUGAUGUGGAUUCAGCAGCAUGGAUCAGGGUGAGGACAGAGAGGAGGGAGUCCCUCCCUCUAAAACCACUCUGUGUGGGGAAGAUGAGAGCCAGAGCAAAGGUCAGAGGAUCCAUCAGAGACUCAAACCAGAACCAGAACCAGAACCCAGCAGUGUGUCCUUUAAGAGCGACAUGUCAAAG